AGCAGCCGCGGUAAUUCCAGCUCCAAUAGCGUAUAUUAAAGUUGCUGCAGUUAAAAAGCUCGUAGUUGAAUUUCGGGACUAAUAUGUCGGUCGUGCCUCGGUACGUACUGGCUUAUUGGUUUCUCCCUUCUGACGAACCAUGAUGUCAUUAAUUUGGUGCCUUGGGGAAUCAGGACUGUUACUUUGAAAAAAUUAGAGUGUUUAAAGCAGGCUCACGCUUGAAUACAUUAGCAUGGAAUAAUGAAAUAGGACGUUUGAUUCUAUUUUGUUGGUUUCUAGGAUCGACGUAAUGAUUAAUAGGGAUAGGUUGGGGGCAUUAGUAUUCAAUUGUCAGAGGUGAAAUUCUUGGAUU
rnacentral:rRNA from 1 species